GCCAGGUGUGGUGGCUCACACCUGUAAUCCCAGUGUUUUGGGAGGCCCAGGUGGGUGGACCACCUGAGGUCAGGAAUUCAAGAUCAGCCUGGCCAACAUGGUGAAACCCUGUCUCUACUANNNNNNNNNNGUAGAGACAGGGUUUCACCAUGUUGGCCAGGCUGAUCUUGAAUUCCUGACCUCAGGUGGUCCACCCACCUGGG
rfam:Gorilla gorilla gorilla genomic chromosome, chr15, whole genome shotgun sequence